AACGUAGGACGCAAGCGUUAUCCGGAGUUACUGGGCGUAAAGCGCGGGCAGGCGGUUCUGCCAGUCUGAUGUGAAAUCUCCUCGCUCAACGGGGAGCAGCCAUUGGAAACUACAGAACUGGAGUCUGGCAGAGGUAGGCGGAAUUCCGGGGUGGAGUGGUGAAAUGCGUAGAGAUCCGGAGGAAGGCCGGUGGCGAAGGCGGCGCUCUGGAACGGCCCUAACACUGAGGCUCGAAAGCGUGGGGAGCAAA
rnacentral:rRNA from 1 species